rnacentral:sRNA from 1 species
AUAAGUUUAGUCUCGUUCGACCAGACGCUCGGCUGUCUCCGUAUAUCUCCGACGAGCAGAUUUGCGGAGACAGCCGAGCGUCUGGUCGAAGGAGUGUGGGGGUGUUCACUGAAACAUAUACGAAAAUGUCAUAUUUUGAAAUAGAGUUUGGAAAGCGAGGUCUCGACAUUGAAAUGAAAGGAAAAGCCUUAUUUUGGAUUGUAGCAAUUUCAUUUCUGUCCGGUGUAACGGUUGGAGUAUAUCUUGAAGCAAAAAAAGACGUGUUGAAGAAAAGAUUCAGAAAGAACUAAUUACUUUUUACUAUUUAGGGACAUCGAUAUCAACAAGAACAUGACGUGAAAUUAUGUGAUUUUUAUAAAAUGAUUCAAUACAUUACAGGAAUUAAUACGAACUAUUUACAGACGAUCGAAAAACGUUGCGUCAGUGAACUUUUGAACAAAAAACUAUUUUAUAGUUGGAAUAAUAUUCUAAUAGUUUUAUGUCUGAUAAGUAAAUUUUAAAAAGAAUUUAUAAACACAAAAAAUUUACAAUCAUUGUAAUUCCAUGUGGGGAAUGAAUGUGACAAAUCCCUUAUUCGUUCAUAAUAGUCUCAAGUUCUUUUCUUGGGAUUAACUUGAUAUUUUAAAAAGUCAAGAUGUUAUGAUAAAAUAAAUGUUAUCACACAAAGGUAUACAUUCCGUAUCGGGUUUUUUUGUUUACCUACAUGUAUAUACAGUACACAUGUUCUAUGCAGUCGCAUGAAUGUCGAUUUCGCAAUAAUUACCAACAUGAAGUUGACCUGUACUGGAAGAAAUUAUCAACUGGUAUCAUGAAUAUUUAAUAAACAUACAUGUAUACUGUCGGAAUAACUCAAUUUAAUUAAGUAUUUACUAGUGUUAAUCAUGUAUCAGGAAUUUAUAAUACAAUCUUAUCAUAUAUUUUGCGUAAUACAUGUGCAUGUAUAUGUACAUGAAUAAUUUGAUUGGCAGAUCAACUACAAUACUUAUUAUGAAUAUCAAGAUACCGGUGUACGCUAGCUGUGUACUGUAAUCAUUUCAUACCUGGAUCUAUGCAAUAAAAAAUAUUUUUGGUAACUUUUCACUAAGUUAAUUUAGGAAGUCUGAGUAUUCCCGCCGUGGGGGGGGGGGGGGGGGGGGGGGAUGGGUCCGGACCACAUGGGGGCCCGUGAAAUAUACAGGUACAUGUAUAUUCUUUUAAAAACAUUUCCCUGUCUCGCAUUGAGUACAAGUAUGUUUAACACUCUGAACAGGUUUCCGAUCAUGAUUAACGAUUUUCCGCCUUGCCGAUGUUGUGCUUGGCGAUUUCUUUUAAAGAUUACAGUACGUCAUGAGGGGUGCCGAGUGAGCCAGAUCAGGGCGCUGUCAAAACAGUAGUGGACGGUCGGAAGCGUUUAGACCAGGAAUAAACAACGAGUGCUUGAUUGGAGAAUGUCGGACUUUGAGAUAGAGAUCGGGAAACAUGGACUGGAAGUGGAAGCGAAAGGAAAGGCUUUGUUUUGGAUUGUGACGGCCACGUUUCUGACUGGAUUAGCAGUGGGGGUGUAUGUAGGAUACAAAGGCGGACAUAAGAUCGACAAAUUCAAGAAACGGUGAUGCCAUGGCCUGUAUACAUGUGUACAUAUGAACAUUUGCAUCGCUUACUCGUUUCUCCGACUCCUGGCUUUGUGAAGGCACUAAACUGUUCCACUUUUAUACAUGUAUUGUACAUGUGUAUACAAGCACACACAUGUGUCUAUACACGUAUCAAAUGUAGUUCGUUAAUGUAGUGCUUUGAUCAGUUGUGAAGAAUGAAUCCUUGUUAACAAGGGGUCCUUUCCUUCCUUGAUCAUAUUUCCUUCAUCUAAACGUGAAAGAGUAAAUUCAUCAUCGUUUUUCCGCAGAGGAAGAAAGACAGGUACACAGACAUCUUGUGCUGUAUGAGAAUGCGUGUACAAGCGUGCUUGUGGUGUCUUGUACGUGCGACUGUUUCAUGUGCCCGGAUUUUUUAGUUCAUAUUCAAUUGAAAUUUCCUUUUAUGUGAUAUGUUGCGAGUAACUUUAUAUUCUGUACAAUAAUCUUAUUUUUCCUAUGAAUAAAUAUUUUCAAUGUUUUCAUUUUUGUUAUAGUUGAUGUACAUGUAUAUGAAUCAUAGUAAAAUGAAAAUUUG